rnacentral:tRNA from 1 species
AGUAGCCGUAUCGGAAGGUGCGGCUGGAUCACCUCCUUUCUCGAGCUAAUACCGCAAAAAUUGAGCGUUCACGCUUAUCGGCUGUAAAUCAAGACAGACUCAGGGGUCUGUAGCUCAGUCGGUUAGAGCACCGUCUUGAUAAGGCGGGGGUCGUUGGUUCGAAUCCAACCAGACCCACCAAUUGUCUGGCGGUAGAAACCUGAGAGGUCUCUGUAUGGGGGCAUAGCUCAGCUGGGAGAGCACCUGCUUUGCAAGCAGGGGGUCGUCGGUUCGAUCCCGUCUGCCUCCACCAAUCUUCAAUGACAAAUGUUCGAGUCAGUUGACUCGAGUCUUUGUCAUUGGCGAUUGAGCCAGUCAGAGUGAUGAGUACACAAGUGUGCUUAUCGGCUGUCGUUCUUUAACAAUCUAGAAGAAGUAGUAAUUUGGAUAGCGGAAGCGUCUAUUUGAGAUGGGCGUGAAAACUAUCCGGGUUGUGAUUGUAUCGAUGUAUCUCAAGAUGAUUCGAACUUAACGUUCGGCUCAAUUGGAAUACGGCACAAAUGCGAGAACUCAACCUGUAGCGGCCUGUCGAGCGAAAGCGAGACAGACUCGUUAUAGGGUCAAGCGAACAAGUGCAUGUGGUG